GUCUCGCCGCGCGCACGCCUUGCCGCCGCCCCGCAGAAAUGCUUCGGUUACCCACAGUCUUUCGCCAGAUGAGACCGGUGUCCAGGGUACUGGCUCCUCAUCUCACUCGGGCUUAUGCCAAAGAUGUAAAAUUUGGUGCAGAUGCCCGAGCCUUAAUGCUUCAAGGUGUAGACCUUUUAGCCGAUGCUGUGGCCGUUACAAUGGGGCCAAAGGGAAGAACAGUGAUUAUUGAGCAGAGUUGGGGAAGUCCCAAAGUAACAAAAGAUGGUGUGACUGUUGCAAAGUCAAUUGACUUAAAAGAUAAAUACAAAAACAUUGGAGCUAAACUUGUUCAAGAUGUUGCCAAUAACACAAAUGAAGAAGCUGGGGAUGGCACUACCACUGCUACUGUACUGGCACGCUCUAUAGCCAAGGAAGGCUUCGAGAAGAUUAGCAAAGGUGCUAAUCCAGUGGAAAUCAGGAGAGGUAGGAAUGUCUGUUGUCACCACAGUGUUCUAAACUUCAGUGUGCUUUAAGGCAUUGAUUCCUUGGACCUAAGGAAAGUGUUAACUUGAGGAAAUUAAUCCUUCUCUCAUUCCUCCUCUUGGCCUGGAGAAAUCUUAAACUGGGUUUUCCUUUAGCAAGCUUGGCUGUAUGGUAGGUACUGUUAGGUAAUUUUGAUAUUUUACUUAGUUGGUUUCUUUUGUUUUUAGAGACAGGGUCUUGCUCUG
rnacentral:sRNA from 1 species